UGGGGAAUAUUGCACAAUGGGCGCAAGCCUGAUGCAGCCAUGCCGCGUGUGUGAAGAAGGCCUCGGGUUGUAAAGCACUUCAGCGAGGAGGAAGGUGGUGAGCUUAAUACGCUCAUCAAUUGACGUUACUCGCAGAAGAAGCACCGGCUAACUCCGUGCCAGCAGCCGCGGUAAUACGGAGGGUGCAAGCGUUAAUCGGAAUUACUGGGCGUAAAGCGCACGCAGGCGGUUUGUUAAGUCAGAUGUGAAAUCCCCGGGCUCAACCUGGGAACUGCAUUUGAAACUGGCAAGCUAGAGUCUCGUAGAGGGGGGUAGAAUUCCAGGUGUAGCGGUGAAAUGCGUAGAGAUCUGGAGGAAUACCGGUGGCGAAGGCGGCCCCCUGGACGAAGACUGACGCUCAGGUGCGAAAGCGUGGGGCAGCAAACAGGAUUAGAUACCCUGGUAGUCCACGCUGUAAACGAUGUCGAUUUUGGAGGUUGUGCCCCUUGAGGCGUGGCUUCCGGAGCUAACGCGUUAAAGUCGACCGCCUGGAGAGUACGG
rnacentral:rRNA from 1 species